ensembl:snoRNA SNORD63 Small nucleolar RNA SNORD63
GUGCCAUGAUGUUAACUGUCAACACAUCAUUCUGAAGAAGAAUUGUGUGGAGACCUUCUGUAACUGAGCACC